UUAAGUGAAUAAGGGCGCACGGUGGAUGCCUUGGCACUAGGAGCCGAUGAAGGACGGGACUAACACCGAUAUGCUUUGGGGAGCUGUAAGUAAGCUAUGAUCCAGAGAUUUCCGAAUGGGGGAACCCAAUAUCUUUUAUAGGAUAUUACUUUUCAGUGAAUACAUAGCUGAUUAGAGGUAGACGCAGAGAACUGAAACAUCUUAGUACCUGCAGGAAGAGAAAGAAAAUUCGAUUCCCUGAGUAGCGGCGAGCGAAACGGGAAGAGCCCAAACCAACAAGCUUGCUUGUUGGGGUUGUAGGACUCCAAUAUGGUAGUCUGUUAGUAUAGUUGAAGGAUUUGGAAAAUUCCGCUAAAGAGGGUGAAAGCCCCGUAGACGAAAUGCUAACAACACCUAGGAGGAUCCUGAGUACGGCGGAACACGAGAAAUUCCGUCGGAAUCCGCGGGGACCAUCCCGCAAGGCUAAAUACUCCCUAGUGACCGAUAGUGAACCAGUACCGUGAGGGAAAGGUGAAAAGCACCCCGGAAGGGGAGUGAAAUAGAUCCUGAAACCGUGUGCCUACAACAAGUCAAAGCUCGUUAAUGAGUGAUGGCGUGCCUUUUGUAGAAUGAACCGGCGAGUUACGAUUGCAUGCGAGGUUAAGUCGAAGAGACGGAGCCGCAGCGAAAGCGAGUCUGAAUAGGGCGAAUGAGUAUGUAGUCGUAGACCCGAAACCAUGUGAUCUACCCAUGUCCAGGUUGAAGGUGCGGUAAAACGCACUGGAGGACCGAACCCACGUACGUUGAAAAGUGCGGGGAUGAGGUGUGGGUAGCGGAGAAAUUCCAAACGAACUUGGAGAUAGCUGGUUCUCUCCGAAAUAGCUUUAGGGCUAGCCUCGGAAUUGAGAAUGAUGGAGGUAGAGCACUGUUUGGACUAGGGGCCCAUCUCGGGUUACCGAAUUCAGAUAAACUCCGAAUGCCAUUCAUUUAUAUCCGGGAGUCAGACUGCGAGUGAUAAGAUCCGUAGUCGAAAGGGAAACAGCCCAGACCACCAGCUAAGGUCCCAAAAUAUAUGUUAAGUGGAAAAGGAUGUGGGGUUGCACAGACAACUAGGAUGUUGGCUUAGAAGCAGCCACCAUUUAAAGAGUGCGUAAUAGCUCACUAGUCGAGUGACCCUGCGCCGAAAAUGUACCGGGGCUAAACAUAUUACCGAAGCUGUGGACUACACCAUUAGGUGUAGUGGUAGGAGAGCGUUCUAAGGGCGUUGAAGGUCGAUCGUGAGGACGGCUGGAGCGCUUAGAAGUGAGAAUGCCGGUAUGAGUAGCGAAAGACAGGUGAGAAUCCUGUCCACCGUAUGACUAAGGUUUCCUGGGGAAGGCUCGUCCGCCCAGGGUUAGUCGGGACCUAAGCCGAGGCCGAUAGGCGUAGGCGAUGGACAACAGGUUGAUAUUCCUGUACCAGUUGUUUUUGUUUGAGCAAUGGAGGGACGCAGUAGGCUAAGGAAUGCAUGCGAUUGGAAGUGCAUGUCCAAGCAAUGAGUCUUGAGUAGAGUUAAAUGCUUUACUCUCUAAGGACAAGUUGUGACGGGGAGCGAAAUAAUAGUAGCGAAGUUCCUGAUGUCACACUGCCAAGAAAAGCUUCUAGUGAGAAAACAACUGCCCGUACCGUAAACCGACACAGGUAGUCGAGGAGAGUAUCCUAAGGUGAGCGAGCGAACUCUCGUUAAGGAACUCGGCAAAAUGACCCCGUAACUUCGGGAGAAGGGGUGCUGACUUCGGUCAGCCGCAGUGAAUAGGCCCAAGCGACUGUUUAUCAAAAACACAGGUCUCUGCAAAAUCGUAAGAUGAAGUAUAGGGGCUGACGCCUGCCCGGUGCUGGAAGGUUAAGAGGAUGGGUUAGCUUCGGCGAAGCUCAGAAUUGAAGCCCCAGUAAACGGCGGCCGUAACUAUAACGGUCCUAAGGUAGCGAAAUUCCUUGUCGGGUAAGUUCCG
rnacentral:rRNA from 1 species